rnacentral:misc_RNA from 1 species
AAAAAAAAAAAAAAAAAAAAGAGCUUGGGGAAUUUACGUUGCAUGCAAUUUGUGUCUUUUGUCAUCUCAAAUUAAACAAUUAAGCAAAUCCAUAUCCACAUUUAACCUCUUCUUUUUCUUUCUCUAAAAUAUUAAUAUUCUUGAGUGCAAUGAUGAUAGUUCAAGUCUUUCUCCCCUCAAUUUUUGACUGCGCUAGUACAAUGAAAAAACAUUCUCCCUCUCAUAAGUGCAAGCAAAAUUCAGUCUUCCACUUAAGAUGACAUCAAGUGACCUUACCUACGGAACUCACUGAGACGCAACA